rnacentral:misc_RNA from 1 species
AAGUCGUAACAAGGUAACCGUAGGUGAACCUGCGGUUGGAUCAUUAUUGAUACAACGGUCUUGGAGUCCUCUUCGGAGUUGAUUCCUCGACCUUACCCACCCCAUGUGCACUGUAAAUGUUUUUUGGGACUAUUACCUAGUAGUAGUCCCAGCAGUAUAUAACUCUAUUUAAUUUGUCUGAAAUGAAACCAAGAAUCGUAACAACUUUUGACAACGGAUCUCUUGGCUCUC